rnacentral:rRNA from 1 species
CGUGAUGCAGCGACGCCGCGUGGGGGAUGACAGGCCUUCGGGUUGUAAACCCCUUUCAGCAGGGAAGAAGCGAAAGUGACGGUACCUGCAGAAGAAGCGCCGGCUAACUACGUGCCAGCAGCCGCGGUAAUACGUAGGGCGCAAGCGUUGUCCGGAAUUAUUGGGCGUAAAGAGCUCGUAGGCGGUUUGUCGCGUCUGCUGUGAAAUCCCGAGGCUCAACCUCGGGCUUGCAGUGGGUACGGGCAGACUAGAGUGUGGUAGGGGAGACUGGAAUUCCUGGUGUAGCGGUGGAAUGCGCAGAUAUCAGGAGGAACACCAAUGGCGAAGGCAGGUCUCUGGGCCACAACUGACGCUGAGGAGCGAAAGCAUGGGGAGCGAACAGGAUUAGAUACCCUGGUAGUCCAUGCCGUAAACGGUGGGCACUAGAUGUGGGGACUAUUCCAUGGUUUCCGCGUCGCAGCUAACGCAUUAAGUGCCCCGCCUGGGGAGUACGGCCGCAAGGCUAAAACUCAA